rnacentral:rRNA from 1 species
ACGGAAGGCAGCAGUGAGGAAUAUUGGUCAAUGGGCGGAAGCCUGAACCAGCCAAGUCGCGUGAAGGAUGAAGGUAUUAUGUAUUGUAAACUUCUUUAGACGUAGAGAAAUAAGGUGCUCGUGAGCACUGAUGCUAGUAUACGUAGAAUAAGCAUCGGCUAACUCCGUGCCAGCAGCCGCGGUAAUACGGAGGAUGCGAGCGUUAUCCGGAUUUAUUGGGUUUAAAGGGUGCGUAGGCGGACUGUUAAGUCAGUGGUGAAAGGUCCCGGCUCAACAGGGGAGCUGCCAUUGAUACUGGCUGUCUGGAAUGCGGAUGCCGUGGGAGGAAUGUGUAGUGUAGCGGUGAAAUGCAUAGAUAUUACACAGAACACCGAUUGCGAAGGCAUCUCACGAAUCCGUUAUUGACGCUGAGGCACGAAAGCGUGGGGAUCAAACAGGAUUAGAUACCCUGGUA